UCGGAGUGGCGGAUGGCCGAUUCCGACGUCGCAAGACGCUCGGGAUAGGAAAGUCCGGACACCAUAAGGCAGCAUGCCCUGUGAAAACGGGGGCGCGCUGAACGAAAGUUCUUUGCGACGGAUAGUGUCACAGAAAACAAACCGCCGGAGCCCCGCAAGGAGCGCCGGUAAGGGUGAAAAGGCGGAGUAAGAGCCCACCGUCCGCGCCAGUAAUGGCCGGAGCCGAUAAACCCCACGCGGUGCAAGACAAAACAGGAGGUCGGACCGCCUGUCCGUCACGCUGGUCCGCCAGUGUGACAGCCUCCGGGUAAUAGUCGCAGCCCUCACGGGCUGUCCGGCGCGCGAGCGCCAGACAAGAUAAAUGGCCAUCCCCGCGCCUGCUUGCAGGUGCGGGACAAAAUCCGGCUUACAGCCACCCAAGCAG
rfam:Terrimicrobium sacchariphilum DNA, scaffold: TSACC_1, strain: NM-5.